CCUACGGGAGGCAGCAGUGGGGAAUAUUGGGCAAUGGGCGCAAGCCUGACCCAGCAACGCCGCGUGAAGGAAGAAGGCUUUCGGGUUGUAAACUUCUUUUGAUAGGGAAGAGUAGAAGACGGUACCUGGCGAAUAAGACACGGCUAACGACGUGCCAGCAGCCGCGGUAAUACGUAGGUGGCAAGUGUUGUCCGGAUUUACUGGGUGUAAAGGGCGUGUAGCCGGGUUGACAAGUCAGAUGUGAAAUCCUGAGGCUUAACCGAAGAACGGCAUUUGAAACUGUUGAUCUUGAGUACUGGAGAGGCAGACGGAAUUCCUAGUGUAGCGGUGAAAUGCGUAGAUAUUACGAGGAACACCAGUGGCGAAGGCGGUCUGCUGGACAGCAACUGACGGUGAGGCGCGAAAGCGUGGGGAGCAAACAGGAUUAGAUACCCCUGUAGUC
rnacentral:rRNA from 1 species